CCAGACUCCUACGGGAGGCAGCAGUGGGGAAUAUUGCACAAUGGGGGAAACCCUGAUGCAGCAACGCCGCGUGAGUGAAGAAGUAUUUCGGUAUGUAAAGCUCUAUCAGCAGGGAAGAAGAAAGACGGUACCUGGCUAAGAAGCCCCGGCUAACUACGUGCCAGCAGCCGCGGUAAUACGUAGGGGGCGAGCGUUAUCCGGAUUUACUGGGUGUAAAGGGAGCGUAGACGGUUUUUCAAGUCUGAAGUGAAAGCCCGCGGCUCAACUGCGGAACGGCUUUGGAAACUGAGGGACUAGAGUGCUGGAGGGGCAGGCGGAAUUCCUGGUGUAGCGGUGAAAUGCGUAGAUAUUAGGAGGAACGCCAGUGGCGAAGGCGGCUUACUGGACUGUAACUGACGUUGAGGCUCGAAAGCGUGGGGAGCAAACAGGAUUAGAUACCCGAGUACA
rnacentral:rRNA from 1 species